rnacentral:rRNA from 1 species
GACGAACGCUGGCGGCGUGCCUAAUACAUGCAAGUCGAACGAGAGCGACCGGUGCUUGCACUGGUCAAUCUAGUGGCGAACGGGUGAGUAACACGUGGGUAACCUGCCCAUCAGAGGGGGAUAACAUUCGGAAACGGAUGCUAAAACCGCAUAGGUCUUCGAACCGCAUGGUUUGAAGAGGAAAAGAGGCGCAAGCUUCUGCUGAUGGAUGGACCCGCGGUGCAUUAGCUAGUUGGUGAGGUAACGGCUCACCAAGGCCGUGAUGCAUAGCCGACCUGAGAGGGUGAUCGGCCACAUUGGGACUGAGACACGGCCCAAACUCCUACGGGAGGCAGCAGUAGGGAAUCUUCCGCAAUGGACGCAAGUCUGACGGAGCAACGCCGCGUGAGUGAAGAAGGUUUUCGGAUCGUAAAACUCUGUUGUUAGCGAAGAAUAAGUGCUAGAGUAACUGUUAGCGCCUUGACGGUAUCUAACCAGAAAGCCACGGCUAACUACGUG